rnacentral:rRNA from 1 species
UACGGGGGGGGCAAGCGUUGUUCGGAUUUACUGGGCGUAAAGGGCUCGUAGGCGGCCAACUAAGUCCGACGUGAAAUCCCUCAGCUUGACUGGGGAACUGCGUCUGAUACUGGAUGGCUUGGAUUUGGGAGAGGGAUGCGGAAUUCCAGGUGUAGCGGUGAAAUGCGUAGAUAUCUGGAGGAACACCGGUGGCGAAGGCGGCAUCCUGGACCAAUAUUGACGCUGAGGAGCGAAAGCCAGGGGAGCAAACGGG